GAUGAGAAAUAGGUAAUUUUAAAACUGUUUGGGGAACAGGGCUGAGCCUGAUGAAGUAACCCAGCAGGGUCCAAGUACAGCAGGACCGUAUCUGACAUUUUAGGAGAGACAUUUUACAAAAGGAGAGGUAGAACAAGUUUGUAUUCUCUUUUAAAAUUUUGUCUAGGGUUAGCCCUUACCAAGGAAGGAAAGCAAACUCUCCUUUCACUCAACUCUCCUUGCUUGCAAACUCAGUGCACUACAGAUUACGUGGCUUUAGCAAAUCUCCUUGAAAAUUAAGAGUCAUGUAUAAAACUGCUGCUAGAAAAACAAGUAUCAGUCAACAAUCUACAAACAUACUUGUGGAAGACAGAUUAUUUUCAACCAUUUCAACCACCUAUCAGUGACUAUAAUAAUAUUCACUAAGCACUUAUUGCGCACCAAACACUUUCCUAUAUGCUUUACCAACAUUAGCUGAUUUAUUUACAUGUCUAUUACUACAGAAGGGGAAGCUGGCUUACAGAAGUGAUCCCACCCAAGGUCAGAGUUAGCUAAUGGGAAUUGAGAUCUGGUCUAUGUAGUUCCCAAACACGCACAGAAGCAGUGUCUUGAAUUUAGUAAGACUCCUUCAAUAUCUACCGAAUUAAUAAAAUAAUUAUUUAAAAAGUCUCCCCCACCCCCAAAAAGCUCAAUGUCAAUUAGGUUAACGGAUGUUUCUGGCAACCUGAUGUUUCCUAACAGCUUCACAAUUGCUGGGGGCGGGGAGAAAAGGAUCAACAUUUUUUAAAAGCUACUCCAACUUGGUUGCAUUGCAGUGAGACGAGAUUGUGCCAUUGCACUCCAGCGUGGGCGACAAAGCAAGACUCCGUCUCAAAGACAAAACAAACAAACAAACAAACAAACAAACAAACAAACAAACAAAACGGCUACUCCAACUUGUACCGCCAGAGGGCAGAGAUUAGCAAAAAAGAAAAAAAAAGAAAGAAAAAAGAAAAAAAGAACCUACAAUAAAUUCAAAUUUCUCCAAACCUACUGAUCAAGAUGACGCUCUAGAUAAUCCAAGGUCAACCUGAAGCGUCGCUCGUAUCCCUUGCUCAACUGUCUCUGAUUCGCAGUUUGAGAAGCGCGAGGGGUGCAAUGAUAUUUCCAAUUCUACUUCCUUGGGUCACUUUGCCUCAGUUAUCUUAUCAGCGUAAAAGGGAAAUUAAUAUCUCCCUCGUCGCAAUGGCAAGAAAAUUUAUAGGGCCAAUGCACACGAUAGAGCACUUGGGUCAUAGAAAGCACUGAGCUCAUUCGGGUUGAAAGUCAUCCACUAGUUAUCCUCUUGUGCCCUUUAACUUUUCUAAGGCCAAGGGGAAGGACUUCCGAGCACGGGCAGCUGGAACUCCAGGGCUGUCAGAGCCACCGCGGGCACCUUCACAAACAGCGGGUUAACAUCCCGACCCUAUACAGGCAAGCCCGCCCUGGGGACAGCAAACGAGUGGGGAAGCACAUCCUUUUCGCUGGACUGAAGCAGCCAAUUUCCCUUCCGCGACAAACUUGGCCACUUACAAAGAAGAGAGAAAACGUAGCAAGCUGCAGCAAAAAUAAACGGUGAAGCGCGACGAUGCCGGCCAAGAAGACCCCCAGUUACUUACCGGCCUGCUUGCCAGCCAUUUUGACCAGAAAGAGAAGCGUUGCCUUCUGGGUAAGUCAUAGAGGACAAGCUGGGCCCAGUCCGCAGGCGCGUUACGUCACAUCGCGAACAGAGAAAGGCCGCUUGCGCAGGCGCAGUUCUGACGACUGCCGUUCAGGACCUGCGUAAGCACCUCUCGGCCAGGGUGAGGCCAAUGGAGUAGGCGGGGCAUUUUGCGUGCUACAUUCUAAGAAGUAUUGGUUGUGAUGUGAUGGGAAGAACACAGCUGGCAACACUCCAGAAAUGAUGGAGACAGGAUACAUCAACCUGUAUCACUGAAGACGAUGUGGAGCAGAGCCUUUGUGGUCCUAAGAAACAUGUAUAAGAUAAAAACUUUUGUGGUUUUUCAAUCAUUUGAGGUUUUAGGAUUGUUCAUUGUAUCAACACAACUUGCCUAUUCUGACAGCUAAGGUUGUUCAGUGGGUUAUUCAUAAAGGCAAAAUGAGGUUGUGAGCCACA
rnacentral:lncRNA from 1 species